rnacentral:rRNA from 1 species
AUAAUGACUCUCGACAACAAGAUAUCUUUGCUUUCGCGUCGAUGAAGAACAUAGCGAAAUGCGAUACUUGGUGUGAAUUGCAGAAUUCCGUGAACUAUCGAGUCUUUGAACGCAAGUUACGCUUAAAGCCUUCCGGCCGAAGGCACGUCAGCCUAGGCAUCACG